rnacentral:rRNA from 1 species
AACGAACGCUGGCGGCAUGCCUAACACAUGCAAGUCGAACGAGACCUUCGGGUCUAGUGGCGCACGGGUGCGUAACGCGUGGGAAUCUGCCCUUGGGUUCGGAAUAACAGUUAGAAAUGACUGCUAAUACCGGAUAAUGUCUUCGGACCAAAGAUUUAUCGCCCAGGGAUGAGCCCGCGUAGGAUUAGCUAGUUGGUGAGGUAAAGGCUCACCAAGGCGACGAUCCUUAGCUGGUCUGAGAGGAUGAUCAGCCACACUGGGACUGAGACACGGCCCAGACUCCUACGGGAGGCAGCAGUGGGGAAUAUUGGACAAUGGGCGAAGCCUGAUCCAGCAAUGCCGCGUGAGUGAUGAAGGCCUUAGGUUGUAAAGCUCUUUACCCGGGAUGAUAAUGACAGUACCGGGAGAAUAAGCCCGGCUAACUCCGUGCCAGCAGCCGCGGUAAU